rnacentral:rRNA from 1 species
UACGAAGGGGGCUAGCGUUGUUCGGAUUUACUGGGCGUAAAGCGCACGUAGGCGGAUCGUUAAGUCAGGGGUGAAAUCCCGGGGCUCAACCCCGGAACUGCCUUUGAUACUGCGAAUCUCGAGUCCGGAAGAGGUGAGUGGAAUUCCUAGUGUAGAGGUGAAAUUCGUAGAUAUUAGGAAGAACACCAGUGGCGAAGGCGGCUCACUGGUCCGGUACUGACGCUGAGGUGCGAAAGCGUGGGGAGCAAACAGG